UAGGAGAGGAAGGGUGGAGGAGAGGAAGGGUGGAGGAGAGAAGGAGAUGAGUGGAAGAGUAGAGGUAGGAGAGGAAGGGUGGAAGAGAGAAGGAGAUGAGAGGAAGAGUAGAGGUAGGAGAGGAAGGGUGGAGGAGAGAAGGAGAUGAGAGGAAGAGUAGAGGAAGGAGAGGAAGGGUGGAAGAGAGAAGGAGAUGAGAGGAAGAGUAGAGGUAGGAGAGGAAGGGUGGAGGAGAGAAGGAGAUGAGAGGAAGAGUAGAGGAAGGAGAGGAAGGGUGGAAGAGAGAAGGAGAUGAGAGGAAGAGUAGAGGUAGGAGAGGAAGGGUGGAAGAGAGAAGGAGAUGAGAGGAAGAGUAGAGGUAGGAGAGGAAGGGUGGAAGAGAGAAGGAGAUGAGAGGAAGAGUAUAGAGG